CUCAGACUGGGCCAGACAACAUGAUUCAGGUGGAUUUCAGUCUCUGAGACGUCACAUGUCGAGUCACACAAGGUACAGCUGCUGAGUAUAAAGGAACGAGCAGGAGAGUUUGUUCCUGUGAACAGAGCUGAUCUGUGUUCAGAGCAUCGAGGCCUCACACCAAACAGACGAGAACUCACAGACAGAGUGCAUGAUGGGACUGAAGACGCUGCUGCUCGUCUCUCUGCUCGGCGUUCUGGCGCUGGAGGUGUUGGCGGGCCGCAGAGUUGGAGGUGUGACCAACAUCAACAAGGACGACCCCGACCUCCAAAAGGCCCUCCUCGUCGCCACCAACUACUACAACACCCAAUCAAAAGACCCCUUCCUCUACAAAAUCUCCUCCGUCAGCAAGGCACGGAGUCAGGUACGACACAGUGUGUGUGUGUAAAGCACUUUGAUAGUGCAGCCAUCAGCAGUUACCCAGGUGAAGUACAAGUACCUCACUAUUGUACUGAAGUACAGUACUUGAGUAAAUGUACUUAGUGACUCUGCUGUCGUGUGUUUCAGUUGGUUGCAGGGAUUCUGUACAGCGUGGAUUUGGCAAUUUCCAAAACCACCUGCCGUAAACUCCCCAGCCAAGAUCUGUCCAAAUGCAGCUUUAAGCUUCCUCGCAAGACGCUUCAGUGUCACGUUAAGGUUUUGGUAGUUCCCUGGCUGAAACAGACCACAACUCUGGAGUUCACCUGUGAACCCUGAAACCAGCAGCUGCCUCCACCUUCUUCAUCAUCAUCCUCCUCCCUGAUGGAGUUCACUGUGAUGGUGUCGUCGGCUCCACCUGCAGCUCAUCAUCUGUAACACUAAACCUUUCUCACAAGUUUUCCUGCUGAUUUAUUUCUGUAUUUACGUGUAGUGAAGCAGAAACUGUGCUGUCUGUAAUCUUUGGUUGUGCUGAGUGCAGACGAGGCCACCUGCUGGUCAGGUGGAUGUACAGCAGCAGGUGGCCUGUCCUACAACACACACACACACACAAAUAAAUUCAAUCAAUCAAUCAUUCAACCAAUCAAAACUGA